rnacentral:rRNA from 1 species
AUUGAACGCUGGCGGCAGGCCUAACACAUGCAAGUCGAACGAGUGGCGGACGGGUGAGUAAUGUCUGGGAAACUGCCCGAUGGAGGGGGAUAACUACUGGAAACGGUAGCUAAUACCGCAUACCAUCGGAUGUGCCCAGAUGGGAUUAGCUAGUAGGUGGGGUAACGGGGCACCUAGGCGACGAUCCCUAGCUGGUCUAAGAGGAUGACCGGCCACACUGGAACUGAGACACGGUCCAGACUCCUACGGGAGGCAGCAGUGGGGAAUAUUGCACAAUGGGCGAAUGCCGGAUCCAGCCAUGCCGCUUGUAUGAAGAAGGCCUUCGGGUUGUAAAGUACUUUCGGCGGGGAGGCGUUACUCGCAGAAGAAGCACCGGCUAACUCCGUGCCAGCAGCCGCGGUAAUUC